AUCCUGUGUUGAGGACACUUCCUCAAUAAUUCCUUGUAUCGUUCAUAUGCUUCGUACAAUGUUUAGGACUCCAUCUGUCUGAAAGAAGAUAUGUUGUUUUUGAGCUU